GACAGAGGGGGCAAGCGUUGCUCGGAAUCACUGGGCGUAAAGGGCGCGUAGGCGGGCUGGCAAGUCAGUCGUGAAAUCCCUCGGCUUAACCGGGGAACUGCGUCUGAUACUGGAUGGCUUGAGUUUGGGAGAGGGAUGCGGAAUUCCAGGUGUAGCGGUGAAAUGCGUAGAUAUCUGGAGGAACACCGGUGGCGAAGGCGGCAUCCUGGACCAACACUGACGCUGAGGAGCGAAAGCCAGGGGAGCAAACGGG
rnacentral:rRNA from 1 species